rnacentral:lncRNA from 1 species
UAAGUCAUUCCACCAUGACUCUUUGGAGUUUGGAACGGUUUGAGGCUAACUUUAAUUCCUUGAUUUUCGUCUGAGUUUCUUUUUCUCUUUCUAGUUCUCAAUCUUCUUCUUGGUUUCUAUCCAUGAUUUGUUAUGAGGUUCAAGCCAAAAUAAUUGUGGAAUCCUAUGUGAUUCAUGCUGCUUCAAUUAUUCAGGCUUGUAAUCGUGGUUGAUUUUGAGUUUGUAGAAGAGCAAGAGGUUCUCAGUUAUACAUGGGCGGAGGUA